GCUCCUAUAGCUCAGUCGGUUAGAGCACCAGUCUUAUACGCUGGGGGUCGGCGGUUCGAGCCCGCCUAGGAGCA
rnacentral:tRNA from 1 species